GACGAACGCUGGCGGCGUGCUUAACACAUGCCAGUCGAACGGAAAGGCCCUGCUUUUGUGGGGUGCUCGAGUGGCGAACGGGUGAGUAAAACGUGAGUAACCUGCCCUUGUCUUUGGGAUAACUUCAGGAAAAUGGGGCUAAUACCGGAUAGGAGCUUUUGCUGCAUGGGGGGGGAUGGAAAGUUUCGGCGGUUGGGGAUGGACUCGAGGCUUAUCAGCUUGUUGGGGGGGUAGUGACUUACCCAGGUUUUGAAGGGUAGGCGGCCUGGGAGGGUGACCGGCCACAUUGGGACUAAGAGACGGCCCAGACUCCAACCGGAGGCAGCAGUGGAGAAUAUUGCACAAUGGGCGGGAGCCUGAUGCAGCGACGCCGCGUGCGUGAUGACGUCCUUCGGGGUGUGAACCGCUUUCGCCUGUGACGAAGCGUGAGUGACGGUAAUGGGUAAAGAAGCACCGGCUAACUACGUG
rnacentral:rRNA from 1 species